UAGCCUAGUGGUUAAGGCUAUGGAUCGCCAAUCCAGAGACGGCGGGUUCGAUUCCCGAU
rfam:Aedes albopictus isolate Foshan contig15503, whole genome shotgun sequence.